AUGGGGAGCCGAACGGCCUCUCCCUGGAGUGACAGAGGAAUAGACCAAUAAGAGACGUAGACAGCUCCUAGGUGGCCCAAUCAGGAAUCGGGAAAGGUGGAGGGUCUGUGCGCAAUCCGAAAGAGGAGAGGUUCUGAUGGAUCGGCAGCGCUUUGGACCAAUGAAAGUCGGCAACAGCUUCUGUCUGUCGGCGAUGUAAGCGAGGAGAGAGGGUGAAAAGUUAGGCGGAGCUUAAGGUGACUGGCAGAUGGAUGGACAACUUGUGUAUUGUCCAAUCAGCGCUUCACACACAGAGAUACGGGAGACGGAGGCGGGAUUUGGCGUGUAUGUGGAAGAGUGAGUACAACGAGAGGCUCCCCGUAGCUGGUUGCUGAAAGAUAUAUGUGGGAGAAAGAAUAGUAAUCAUGCUAAAGCCCAUAUCGCUAUAGCACAGUAAAACAGCAGAAGAUGCCAAAGGAAGAUGUCUUCAAGGAAAAGAAGGGAAGGAAUGUGAUGGAGGAAACCUGUCAAUCAAGAAGGGAAUGCUUUAGGGAAUGUGAGCUUCCUGCCUCAAAAUUUUGAAAUGGAAAAGGAAAACUUAUGAUGUAGGCGGGAUCCAUUUCUAGAAGUAUCCUUGUUAGAAUUGGAAACAUGCCUUAUUUGCCUGCUGAAUUAUUUUGUGAAUAUAUCAAUCUACAUUUCCUGGGAUUUUCUCUAGGAAACAGAUGCACCUUUUUGCACACACCCCUUUGAAGAAGUGGAAAGUGACCUGUUGUGUUUGUGGAAGCUCUGGAAUCCCACAGGAGAAGGAUCACUCAACACCAUGGCAAUCUGCCAAGUACAACUUGUUUUGAAACACAGUGGCUCUGAGAAGAUGCAUUAUCAUCUGAAACACAAUGUCAUCAUAGUGGGAGGAACAGGACAUGAACCGGCCUUCCACACUGCCCACCUGAUUGUUUUCUGUGAGGAGUCCAGCUACCAAUAUCUACAAGUGUCCUGCCCUUUGCUGCCUCCCGGGUUUGCUGUUCAUUGUUUUGGCAUCCAUGCAACUGGCAUUUGAACUAUACUGUAGCCCUCAGGGGAAGAAGUGACAGAUUUUUUUUAGGAUCAGCAGCUCUUUUUAAAAGAGAAAUUGCUAUUUCUUUUGUUAGAAGAGGUUAAAUUGUGAAACUGUCAAUUUUGAUUGUGUGGCUUUAAAUAAUUGAGUAUUAUAUAUAACAAGAUCUGAUCCCGCAAAUCCAUACUAGUGUGAGUAGUUAUUAGUCCAGUGGGAUCAUUUGCAAGACUAAGGAUUACUCUUGGGAGUAAGAGUCCAGUCCUACCCCACUAAAGGCAGUGUAAAAAAUUCACAGUGACGUAAACUGUACAGGACUUGGGGAGAGAAAGCACAGGUUUAUAGCUGCUUGAUAUUUGAGUUACCACCAAAGUCAAACCUCAAUACAGGGUUUUAUUUGGACUACAGACAAAGAGUAUCUUCUGCUCAGCCCAAAAUGGGAACUCCAUCUGCUUCUAAUGAAGGUGUAAGUAUGCUCCAAAACUUAAGGGACAGCAAAUGGAGGAAUCCUGCGGAAAGCCUUCAAUAUAAUAUAAAGAUGUUUC